rnacentral:rRNA from 1 species
UGCCUAAUACAUGCAAGUCGAGCGAACAGAUGAGAAGCUUGCUUCUCUGAUGUUAGCGGCGGACGGGUGAGUAACACGUGGGUAACCUACCUAUAAGACUGGGAUAACUCCGGGAAACCGGGGCUAAUACCGGAUAAUAUUUUGAACCGCAUGGUUCAAUAGUGAAAGACGGUUUCGGCUGUCACUUAUAGAUGGACCCGCGCCGUAUUAGCUAGUUGGUAAGGUAACGGCUUACCAAGGCGACGAUACGUAGCCGACCUGAGAGGGUGAUCGGCCACACUGGAACUGAGACACGGUCCAGACUCCUACGGGAGGCAGCAGUAGGGAAUCUUCCGCAAUGGGCGAAAGCCUGACGGAGCAACGCCGCGUGAGUGAUGAAGGUCUUCGGAUCGUAAAACUCUGUUGUUAGGGAAGAACAAAUUUGUUAGUAACUGAACAAGUCUUGACGGUACCUAACCAGAAAGCCACGGCUAACUACGUGCCAGCAGCCGCGGUAAUACGUAGGUGGCAAGCGUUAUCCGGAAUUAUUGGGCGUAAAGCGCGCGUAGGCGGUUUCUUAAGUCUGAUGUGAAAGCCCACGGCUCAACCGUGGAGGGUCAUUGGAAACUGGGAAACUUGAGUGCAGAAGAGGAGAGUGGAAUUCCAUGUGUAGCGGUGAAAUGCGCAGAGAUAUGGAGGAACACCAGUGGCGAAGGCGGCUCUCUGGUCUGUAACUGACGCUGAUGUGCGAAAGCGUGGGGAUCAAACAGGAUUAGAUACCCUGGUAGUCCACGCCGUAAACGAUGAGUGCUAAGUGUUAGGGGGUUUCCGCCCCUUAGUGCUGCAGCUAACGCAUUAAGCACUCCGCCUGGGGAGUACGACCGCAAGGUUGAAACUCAAAGGAAUUGACGGGGACCCGCACAAGCGGUGGAGCAUGUGGUUUAAUUCGAAGCAACGCGAAGAACCUUACCAAAUCUUGACAUCCUUUGACCGCUCUAGAGAUAGAGUCUUCCCCUUCGGGGGACAAAGUGACAGGUGGUGCAUGGUUGUCGUCAGCUCGUGUCGUGAGAUGUUGGGUUAAGUCCCGCAACGAGCGCAACCCUUAAGCUUAGUUGCCAUCAUUAAGUUGGGCACUCUAGGUUGACUGCCGGUGACAAACCGGAGGAAGGUGGGGAUGACGUCAAAUCAUCAUGCCCCUUAUGAUUUGGGCUACACACGUGCUACAAUGGAUAAUACAAAGGGCAGCGAAUCCGCGAGGCCAAGCAAAUCCCAUAAAAUUAUUCUCAGUUCGGAUUGUAGUCUGCAACUCGACUACAUGAAGCUGGAAUCGCUAGUAAUCGUAGAUCAGCAUGCUACGGUGAAUACGUUCCCGGGUCUUGUACACACCGCCCGUCACACCACGAGAGUUUGUAACACCCGAAGCCGGUGGAGUAACCUUUUAGGAGCUAGCCGUCGAAGGUGGACAAAAGGGG